rfam:Aspergillus fumigatus Af293 chromosome 3, whole genome shotgun sequence.
GACGAGGAUUAUAUAUAUUGCAUGGCUUUCGGACAACCAUGACGGUAACUCCAUACCUUUGGUAUGUUGUCAUGGCUGCAUGACGUACAUCGCAGGGGUAAUGAGUCGACC